CAGUCGCCGCGGUAAUACGGAGGGUGCAAGCGUUAAUCGGAAUUACUGGGCGUAAAGCGCACGCAGGCGGUCUGUCAAGUCAGAUGUGAAAUCCCCGGGCUUAACCUGGGAACUGCAUUUGAAACUGGCAGGCUAGAGUCUUGUAGAGGGGGGUAGAAUUCCAGGUGUAGCGGUGAAAUGCGUAGAGAUCUGGAGGAAUACCGGUGGCGAAGGCGGCCCCCUGGACAAAGACUGACGCUCAGGUGCGAAAGCGUGGGGAGCAAACAGGAUUAGAUACCCGGGUAGUCCCUGUCUCUUAUAA
rnacentral:rRNA from 1 species